UCAGCAGGGACGAUAAUGACGGUACCCGCAGAAGAAGCCCCGGCUAACUUCGUGCCAGCAGCCGCGGUAAUACGAAGGGGGCUAGCGUUGCUCGGAAUUACUGGGCGUAAAGCGUGCGCAGGCGGCUUCUCAAGUCAGAUGUGAAAGCCCCGGGCUUAACCUGGGAACUGCGUUUGAAACUGGGAGGCUAGAGUGCGGCAGAGGGGGGUGGAAUUCCACGUGUAGCAGUGAAAUGCGUAGAUAUGUGGAGGAACACCGAUGGCGAAGGCAGCCCCCUGGGCCUGCACUGACGCUCAUGCACGAAAGCGUGGGGAGCAAACAGGAUUAGAUACCCUGGUAGUCCACGCCCUAAACUAUGUCGACUAGUUGUUGGGGGAGUCUGUCCCUCAGUAACGUAGCUAACGCGUGAAGUCGACCGCCUGGGGAGUACGGUCGCAAGAUUAAAACUCAAAGGAAUUGACGGGGACCCGCACAAGCGGUGGAUUAUGUGGAUUAAUUCGAUGCAACGCGAAGAACCUUACCAGCCUUUGACAUGUCCUGGAUUGUUGGCAGAGAUGCCUCCGUCUCUUCGGAGCCGGGAACACAGGUGCUGCAUGGCUGUCGUCAGCUCGUGUCGUGAG
rnacentral:rRNA from 1 species